rnacentral:rRNA from 1 species
GACGGAGGGUGCAAGCGUUGUUCGGAAUUACUGGGCGUAAAGGGCGCGUAGGCGGUCUGUUAAGUUCGGUGUGAAAGCCCCCGGCUCACCUGGGGAACUGCGCCGGAAACCGACAGACUCGAGUACCGGAGAGGAGGGUGGAAUUCCUGGUGUAGCGGUGAAAUGCGUAGAUAUCAGGAGGAACACCGGUGGCGAAGGCGGCCCUCUGGACGGAUACUGACGCUGAGGCGCGAAAGCGUGGGGAGCAAACAGG